CACGAGUAUGGAUUUUGUUAGCAUGCCUAAACUCGAAACCCUUUUCCUCCUAUUCUUCUUCUUCUUCCUCCCUUCCUCUUUAAAACAAAACCCACCCACCAUCAUCAUUAGCUUCUUGUCCAUCGGCGCCUCCACCGCUGCCGACCUGCCACACCCUUUUCUUCUUCUUUCUUUCUCUUCAAAACAAAACCCAUCCGCUGUCAAUUUUCCACCAACUGUCGGUUGGUUAUUGGGUGAUUUGGAAUUGGAUUUAAUGGAGAUAAUGUGAGAACUCAAUUUGGCUGAAGAUCUAUCACUGGACAUAAAUUUGACAGCAUAAAAGCUUAACACAAAGAUAGAUUUGAAGCUGAUAGAAGACAUAGUUGUAGUUCCAUUGGAAAGUAUGUUGUUUUAUAUAAGUUUGUAACUCUUUUUAGAACAUAAUGAAUUGAGAUUCUUUGUUUCAUUA